rnacentral:misc_RNA from 1 species
GAUGAAGAACGCAGCGAAAUGCGAUACUUGGUGUGAAUUGCAGAAUCCCGUGAACCAUCGAGUCUUUGAACGCAAGUUGCGCCCGAAGCCUCGGCUAAGGGCACGUCUGCCUGGACGUCACGCAUCGCGUCUCCCCCAAACCGCCAAGGCGGAGGGGAAGGAAGAUGGCUUCCCGUGCCUCACCCGGCGCGGUUGGCCUAAAUUUGGAGCCCGCGGCACUUAGCUCUCGCGGCGAUAGGUGGUGAACAAGGCCUUGGCCGUGCAAACAACCCGCUGCGAAGCUCUAUGUCACGUGCGCUCGUCGGACCCUUUGAAGUUGCCUUCGGUGACUUAUAACCUUUGCGACCCCAGGUCAGGCGGGGCUACCCGCUGAAUUUAAGCAUAUCAAUAAGCGGAGGA